ACACAAUCACUGGUAUAGCACAGGUCACCGCGGCCAAAGUAGAUGCCAGCACCUGGAAGCUUGUGUAUUGUUCUGUUAAUAAUAGGCUUGUGCUUGACUAGUGAGAGCUCAGGUGUUAUGCUGUAGAUCCCUCUUGAUCACCCUCUGUGUUUUUGUCGCUGUUUUUGGCAGUCUUUCACUCUUGUCUAUCUGCACGUCCAUUCAUCUGUAGGUAUGUCUUUUACUGUUCUUCAAUCCACUUCUCUAUAUGUAUGUCUGCCCGUUCAUCUGUGCACAUGUCUCUCCGUUCACACGUCGUUACACCAUCUUUGUAUAUGUGACGCUUCAUUCAUACGUCUGUCUGUAUUUCUGUUCGCAUGUCUGCUUUCUGCCUUUCUCUGCAUCUGGUAUUUGUUCUGUUUAUAUUGUCCGUCUAAUGUCCCAGCCUGUCUUUCUGUCGGUCCAUCUGUACAGCUUUCUGUCUCCUGUACAUAGAUCUCACUAUCUGUGGUUCUUGGCGUCUCUAGGUUACUGAGUCAAUUCAUCACGACGUUUUUUUUCUUUGUGUUCAUCUUUCUGUCUUUCAGUCUGUCUGUCUGCCAGUUUCAGUCUACUUGUUAGUCCAUUAAGAAAAUUUUUUGUCAGUGUGUCCACAUUGCUCUUCUUUCCUGUCAAUGUGUCAUUGAGUGCCGGACAAAAAAAAAGCACUUAGAAUAGGCCAUUUUUACUAUUCCCUGCCUUGGUCUCACAUUCGGUCGUACAUUUGCAAAUUAGACGACCUAUGAUUGUCGGAUUAUUGCCCAACAAGACAACUGAACAACACAGCUGCACUGAUCUUUUUCAAGCGCAUCAAGAUGCCUAUGAACCGUAGCACAGAAAGGAAAUUGCGUUUGAACACCGGGUGCACAGACGAAGACACAUUUGUAAGGCAGCCAGGCCAGUUUAGCUGUCGCGUGCUGGAAGACGGUACUUUCGCACCCAAAGAGGCUCUCCCAUGUGCAACGACAAGUUCACUGACUGCCGUUACAAAAUUCUUGAUGGCUCUAAGACUAGAUUCACCUUUGUGCCCUCUAGUUCAAACGAAGGCAGCAAAUAAUUGGUGCAAGUGACAUUUUGGAUGGACUUCUUGAUACCAGACUAUCUAACAGCCAGCAUCUAACACAAUAAAGAAAAUGUUAGCCAUUUAA